rnacentral:rRNA from 1 species
CCUGAGAGGGUGACCGGCCACACUGGGACUGAGACACGGCCCAGACUCCUACGGGAGGCAGCAGUGGGGAAUCUUGCGCAAUGGGCGAAAGCCUGACGCAGCAACGCCGCGUGGGGGAUGACGGCCUUCGGGUUGUAAACCUCUUUCGACAUCGACGAAGCCUUCGGGUGACGGUAGGUGUAGAAGAAGCACCGGCUAACUACGUG